UACGGAGGGUGCAAGCGUUGUUCGGAUUUACUGGGCGUAAAGCGCGCGCAGGUGGGUGUGCAAGUCGGAAGUGAAAUCUUGAGGCUCAACCUCGAGGCUGCUCCCGAAACUGCACGCCUAGGGACUGGUAGAGGCUGGUAGAAUUCCCGGUGUAGCGGUGGAAUGCGUAGAUAUCGGGAGGAACACCAGUGGCGAAGGCGGUUGCCUGGAGCUUUGCUGACGCUGAUGCGCGAAAGCGUGGGGAGCGAUCCGG
rnacentral:rRNA from 1 species